GGGUUAGGGUUGGUUUAGGGGUAGGGGUUAGGAGUAAGGUUAGGGGUUGAGGUAGGGUAUGGCUAAGGGUUGGGGUAGGGUUAGGGGUUGGGGUAGGGUAACCUUAACCCUUUUCCUAACCCUAACCCUGCUCCUAACCCAACCCUAACCCUAAUCCCUACCAUAACCCUACCCCUAACCCUACCCCUAAUCUAACACUACCCCUAACCCUACCUCUAACUCUACCCCUACCCUAAACCAACCCUAACCC